rnacentral:rRNA from 4 species
GCAACCCUUAUCCUUUGUUGCCAGCGGUCCGGCCGGGAACUCAAAGGAGACUGCCAGUGAUAAACUGGAGGAAGGUGGGGAUGACGUCAAGUCAUCAUGGCCCUUACGACCAGGGCUACACACGUGCUACAAUGGCGCAUACAAAGAGAAGCGACCUCGCGAGAGCAAGCGGACCUCAUAAAGUGCGUCGUAGUCCGGAUUGGAGUCUGCAACUCGACUCCAUGAAGUCGGAAUCGCUAGUAAUCGUGGAUCAGAAUGCCACGGUGAAUACGUUCCCGGGCCUUGUACACACCGCCCGUCACACCAUGGGAGUGGGUUGCAAAAGAAGUAGGUAGCUUAACCUUCGGGAGGGCGCUUACCACUUUGUGAUUCAUGACUGGGGUGAAGUCGUAACAAGGUAACCGUAGGGGAACCUGC